ACUAUGUGUGGAGAAGACACUUAAAGUUUGUAUUUGUCCACUGUGGAUAUGGGCUCCGCCCUGUGAUGUUCAGUCUUUUCCCACAACAUCGGAGAUAGAGCUGGGCCAUAAAUCUGUACCUGCAUAUUCCUAUGGCUCCUCAGAGACCUAUGGACAAUGACUGCAGAGAUAGAAAAAGCAGGAAACAUCC
ensembl:snoRNA SNORA73 Small nucleolar RNA SNORA73 family